rnacentral:lncRNA from 1 species
CAGGGAUGCAGAUAGUUGAGUCACUGACCCAGUUUAUUAGAUGAAAGGCUGCUUUUAAAGAGUGGGUAAUAAGGAUGGAAGCAUUUUUAUGUUGUAAAUCUUAACAGUUCUGGUGUAUAAAUCGUCUAGGGAAUAAAAAUAGUUAUUUAGCUUAUAACUAUUUUUAUUUGGUUUCCAGAAUUUCAAAGAACACAUCGAUUACCAGAGGCCAGCAUAUGUAUGUAGUCCGAGUAUGUAUGAUGAUUUUUUUUUUUUAAAGAUGUGGUCAUGAGCUGAGGCUGUAACUCAGUGGUAGAGCUUUUUUCUUGCACAUACAAAGCUCUCCAACACCACAAAAUAAAACAUUUAUUCGUGAUAACUGUAAAUAAUAGCUCUACAUCUUCAGGCAUUGGUUUAAAAGUUAUAUAACUUCAGGGAAAAAAAAGCAUCAUCCCAACUAAAUUGUUCCUGAUUAUUUGUCCAAGAUGCUCCACUGUCCUGUGGCACACAGUGUGACUGACAUCCACAUGUCCUUCUGAGGCCGAGUGAGGUGGGUGUCAAUCAGGCACAGCUUUCUCAACAGGGAACUCCUGACCAAAGCCCUAUUUCCACAUUGACCUGUUUUCUAUUCCAGAAGUGGGUAAAGUGACUCAGUCCUCACUCUGUACCUGCCCCAUGUUGGUCAGCAAAAUGGAGACAGGGAGAGCCCAACAGAGCAUCCCAUUUAAAGGGGCUGUGGUCUUUCUGACUGCCACUGCAAGCCAAGGCCUGAUUUGGGACAUGUUGCGUUUCUCGCACUUUCGUGUUUUGCGUUAAAGGGAGUGAUGAUAGCACACACACACGCCAUGCACUUUUGUCCUUUUGGCCACAGCUGCCACUUUUCUCUCCUAAUCCUCUGGGCUGCUAGAGCAUGUGUGGCCUGGCUUGGCCCUGGGCCUCUCUCUUCUCUUUACCCGCAGCUAAAAUACUGACUCCUCUGUGAAUGUUGUAAAGAAUCAGGACCCAAAAGCCUUUCACAUCCCAGAAUGGAUGAGACGAAUCAAAAAGCGUCAACUAUGACACAGGUGCAAUGUAAAGUCUAGUUCCUACAUUUUAAAAAAGACCACCUGGGGCGCUGAGGGUGCUCAGAGUUAGAGUACUUGCUUAGCAUGCACCAGGCUCUGGGUUCAAUCCUCGACAUAACAAGAAAGAAAAAAAAUACUAUCUGAAUUUAUGAUAAGGAGAAAAACAAUAAGGGGGGAGCACUUUUUUUUAAGUUUGCUGUGAGUCAAGGCACUGUGGAGAGUCGGGUUGUGUUAAUGCAGGCAGGGUCCAAACCAAGUCCUCUGUCCCUAAGGGACCUGUUUGAUACAAGGUACAACAGAAAACAUUCCAAAGGAGAUGGGGGAUUUCACAUAAAUAGGAGAAAGGGCUAAUACAACAUUUGGUAAGUUAUCUAGAGAAGGGUGUGACCUUCUGAGGUCCUGAAAAGGAUACUACAAACAAGGGUGACAGCAAGAAAGGAAAAUACCGAGUUUUCAGGAAGAACUUUGUAACUCUUGGAGCAGUGCAAAAGCAAAGUGCUUACCUGGGCCAUAGCACCUACCUAAUUUGCAAGGGGCUUGGUUUUUUUAUUUGUUUGUUUGCUUUUUCCUGGUCUUUGAUUCAAUACACAGGAUGGUGCUAUGUUGCCCAGGCUGCUCUCAAACUUCUAUGCUCAAAUGAACCUCCUGACUCAGCCUCCCUAGUGCUGGGACUACAGAUGUGCCUCUCCUGUCCAGCUUGCACCUCCUAUUGAGUAUUUAGUGACCAUCUUGCAUAUCACACCUGGAUGUCAUGAUUUUAACUCUCUUCUUUACCCAUGUAAAGAAGAC